UUUCUUGUUUGCUCGCUUAUUUGAAUGUUUCAAUGGCUGGAAUAUUACGUAAGGUUUGAUCUAGUUGGGCAGCAUUCACAUUUAUGUUUAAUAUAUCCAUGUCAUCUAUUUAUUGGCUCAUAACCUUAUGCUUAUCUUGUAUCAGGUGAAAUUUCCACAAGGGAUUGAAAUUUUGAACAUAUUCAAGAACUACUCAUCCAAAACUUCCAUAUUGGAUGACUUUGAUUUUUAUGAGAACCGGCAGAAGGUCAUGCAGCAUAAGAGGAGUAAGCCGCCGAUCCCGAAUUUUGACCUUCCAUCGCUCAAAGUUGAAGAAUUGUCACAGGUCUCAAAGCCAGAUGAUGAUCUGAAGUCUGUUUCAAACCCUCAAUCUGUAGAAGCUGUGUUGUUGGCCGUGGAUGUGGCAGAAUAAUGACUCCUCAAUUGGAAGCUUGGCUUGCUUGUCUCUGCUGUCAUUAGCUCAUAAUUAUUGGCGUUACUGAACAAUGCCAUUCUUCGAGGAUUCAGUUUGUUGUUUGCCUGACAAUCCGUUGAAAGAUUAACUUCUAAUUUGUACAGGAAGAAAGGGGUUAGUGUUCAAGAAAAUCUCCCCAAGAGCAUCGGGUGCCAUGAUUGGGCUGAGAUCAUUGUUGCCGAUCAGCAACAGCUUGCAGGAAUCACCGCUGCAGUUUAUAGAUCAUUUCCCCCCUUUGUUCUCUCGCAUGAUUUCCUUUUCUGUUUGUUGGCAUUUUUUUGGCCUUUUGUUUCUCUUUCCAUUGUUGGGCUUGUGAUGGUUGGUCAAGUUUCUUUGGUGUCCGUAUUGGUUCCAUGGGUUGGGAAAUGAUGCCUAUGGAGCUUGUUCCUUCAUUACUGUUGUAAAGUUCAAAAAGAAAAGGAAAAAAAUAAAAAAGAAAAGAAAAAUGACCCAAGUUAUUUGCUUGGCA